rnacentral:lncRNA from 1 species
CCGUGAAGUUGUGUUGCUGCCUCCUUGUAGGGCCUUCGUGCUUCAGGCAAGUGUUGAGUCAGAGCCCUUCUGACACAGCAGAUGCUGAAUGACAAGGAAACACACGUGGAGCCACCCAUGUCCACCUUCAGACUGUGUUUGCAAGUUGUUUGGCUGCACACAGUCCUCUCGGGAUUUCAAACAGCUAGUCUUCUGGAAAGAAAAGUGCAUGUCAGCUGGGUUACCUUCUGUAACAGCUUCAGGACCAGAGGACCUACCAGCAGACCUGGCUGUGCUUUCCCUCACUUUACAGCUCUCCAGAAGUGCACUGUGACCGGUGUGUGGGUGAGAUAAGCCUGUUCUUCACACUGUGCUGUUGUGCAAUCUGUCAGCAGAGGCUCAGGUGGGACCAGAACUGCAAACUGGAG